ACACAUGUUAACUGUUUGUAAGCCCACGGUGCCUAAAACAUAUUAUUUUUUUAAACAUUUAAUACCUACAAGUGUAAACCAACUAGCUUCACUGUCUGUGACAGUAGAAUGUAAAUUAUACAUGAACUCAGAGAGACUUAGUAACAUUUCCCAAACAUGAAGCUACAACAAAAGCUUCAAAUUUGUUCCAGUUUCUGAAGUAUUUAUUUCUGUAUUUUGUAGAUCAUGUUUUCUGUUAUGAUAGCUUGAGAAAUGCUGGUUGUUUUCAAAAGUGUUCAGUUUAUCUCCUUAUCACUUACAUUCUCUUUCACCUUCCAAUAAACUGCUUCUGGAAAGUGA